CACGUAGGGUGCGAGCGUUGUCCGGAAUUAUUGGGCGUAAAGAGCUCGUAGGCGGUGUGUCGCGUCGGCCGUGAAAACCUGCAGCUUAACUGUGGGCGUGCGGUCGAUACGGGCAUCACUGGAGUUCGGAAGGGGAGACUGGAAUUCCUGGUGUAGCGGUGAAAUGCGCAGAUAUCAGGAGGAACACCGGUGGCGAAGGCGGGUCUCUGGGCCGAUACUGACGCUCAUGCACGAAAGCGUGGGGAGCAAACAGG
rnacentral:rRNA from 1 species